rnacentral:misc_RNA from 1 species
AGGGAGACCUACACCCCUUACAUAUCGAAAAGCAUACAGCUAUAUAGAUAGUAAGUUGGUCAUUCCUUAGGUCGGUCGAUUAUUGGUAUAAAGCUUUCAAAGUAUUAAUGGUUCAGAAUAUUAAACGAAAAAUAUUGAGAGUUCAGCAACGUGACAUUGAUUGUCAGACUGCUGAGAUUAUUCUCAGCCAGAACCUUGAAAACUGCAUAGUAACGCGAAAUUAGCAGGCAGACACAGACAUUCUUUAUGGAUGUUGUAGUGAAUGCAAAAUUGUGAAAGACCAAAUGAAUUGAGUGUCAAGCGUUAAAUUACCG